CCAUGAGAGUUGGGAAUACCCGAAGCCUGUGAGCUAACGUAAGAGGCAGCAGUCGAAGGUAGAGCCAAUGAUUGGGGUGAAGUCGUAACAAGGUACC
rnacentral:rRNA from 1 species